GCAAACUUGGUCAUUUAGAGGAAGUAAAAGUCGUAACAAGGUUUCCGUAGGUGAACCUGCGGAAGGAUCAUUAAAAAGAUGAUACAUUAUCUCAUCUUCUAAUUCACCCUGUGCACUCAUUGGAAUCGAAGCAAUUCGAUUCCCAAUCCUUUAUCUUUAAUUUCUGCCUGAAAUUUCAAAAUUUUUGAAAUUUAAUACAACUUUCAACAACGGAUCUCUUGGCUCUCGCAUCGAUGAAGAACGCAGC
rnacentral:misc_RNA from 1 species